rnacentral:rRNA from 1 species
UACGGGGGGGGCAAGCGUUGUUCGGAAUUACUGGGCGUAAAGGGCUCGUAGGCGGUCCAUCGCGUCGGGAGUGAAAAGCUGGGGCUUAACCCCAGUCCUGCUUCCGAUACGGGUGGACUAGAGGUAGGUAGGGGAGAACGGAAUUCCUGGUGUAGCGGUGAAAUGCGCAGAUAUCAGGAGGAACACCGGUGGCGAAGGCGGUUCUCUGGGCCUUACUUGACGCUGAGGAGCGAAAGCAUGGGGAGCAAACAGG